rnacentral:rRNA from 1 species
AGGACGAACGCUGGCGGCGUGCUUAACACAUGCAAGUCGAGCGGAAAGGCCCUUCGGGGUACUCGAGCGGCGAACGGGUGAGUAACACGUGAGCAACCUGCCCUGGACUUUGGGAUAACCCUCGGAAACGGGGGCUAAUACCGAAUAUUACUUCUGCCCGCAUGGGUGGUGGUGGAAAGUUUUUUCGGUCUGGGAUGGGCUCGCGGACUAUCAGCUUGUUGGUGGGGUGAUGGCCUACCAAGGCGACGACGGUUA